UUGUGAGUCACCUGGGGAUCUUGUUAAAAUGCAGAUUCUGGUUCAGCAUAUCUGGGGUAGGGCCUGACACUCUGCAUUUUUAACAAGCUCCCUGGUGCGGCUGAU
rnacentral:pre_miRNA from 1 species